rnacentral:lncRNA from 1 species
UUGGUUUUCUUUCUUGUAGUAAUUAAUUAGGGCUUUUGGAUUGAAGGUUAUUGUUAACAACUGUGAAAUAAUUUUGAGAAACUUGAGUUUGUGCUAUUUAUUUUUUAUUUUUAUUUUUUAUGAUGUUCUUGAUUUUCUGGAUUUUUUGGGUUUUGAUGAUGAAAAAAAAAAAAAAAAAAAAAAUUGUAACACCUAUUGAAAGUUGA